GGGUGCUAGAGCUGGCAGCUCCAGUACCUUAACUAAUUGUUCUCAUCUUUCUGAUGGACAUGGGUGAGAAAACACAAGAGAUAGGUACCUGAACCAACAUAGGGUUGCUGAAGAUGUCAGCCCAGACCUUAUUCCCCCAUCCUAACAUCACUCAGAUUUUCCCCUGACCAUGUCACUCAUAAUGAUGUCCUGGUUCCACAUAGCCUGCAUGCCCUGGCAUGCACAUUGAAGCCUCAGCCACUGUCCCUGCCUCUUGCCUGGCUCCCUCCGUCUGCAUCUUGGUGCUGCCCUUUCGCCUGCAGCUCAUGUUGGAUACCUGGAUGCUGAGGUGCACAGAUUGUUUUCCCUCAGCCUUCAGUGCCUGCCAACCUCCAGCCAUUAGCUAAAGGUAUCUGCAUAGUUCCCAGCAUCAUCUUCCUCCCCUGGAAUGAUGGGGACUGGCACUAUGCACAGUCCCUUCUGUGACCACACCCAUCAGCUGUAUGACUACAGAGUGGGGGUCCCAGGAAGAAGGCUGAGGAAGGAACAAAGCUGGAGGGCCAAAGGGACCCCUGGGCACAGAGACAGCUGUCUGCAAAUUACUUGUGCCUUACCACCUCCUCUGCCAGGGUCACCUGUGGGCCACUUCGCAGCCAUAAACUCAGACCAAGCUGUGUUCUUCUAAGGCAAAGGGCUCGCUGAAUGGGAGACCUCAUGACAAGCAGAGAGGGGUCUUUGGAGGGAUCUUUCUCCUUUGUCCCACCUGCUGAGAAAAAGCAGGGUCCCACUGCAAAUGCCCAAUUCCUCUUCCUAAGAGAAUCCAGGACCAGGAGCCAACUUGAGAAGGACAAUGGCCAGAGAACAGCCACUGACUCCAGCAUUCAGCCUGUGCCAGGUGGCACCACCCAUGUCUGGAAUCAGAAACAGUUCUGUUCUUGGCUUCCCCAAGUGUUGUCCUGGUCACCAACCUCCUGGUCACCUCUGGCAUGCAUUGCCACCUGCUGGCUACCAGCCCAUGGCCAUGUGCUCUAAUAUUGACUUUCUGAACCCCAAGCUCUGUUACUAGCAACAUCAGAGGGCCACCACCAACACUGCAAGUACCAUGCAGGCCUCCUCAUUUAUCAUCUCCCGGCUGCCAGCCUCUGUCAGCCACCAAGCUUGCAGGUGUUCAGGUUCCUAGGCUGACUCAGGCCAUCCAGGUCCUUAGUUCUGAAUCUGCAAGGCCAGGAGUCCGUCCAUCUUCAGGACCCUGAGCUCAGCCUGCACCAGCUUACUUCUGAAGGAGGAUGACAUCGCCCCAGGGACAAACCAGGAAAAUGUGAGCUGGACGAGGUGCCCAGACUAUGCUUCCAGGAGAGAACCAGGGACAAGCUGCCCAGCUUUGGCACCCAGGGGCAGAACCCUGGAGCCCUUCUCUGCCAGAUGCGAUUCUUGAAGAUGCCACAGAUUCUUGUUGCCUUAUUGAUAGAUUUGGUACUGGAGCUUCCCCGAGGAACUCAAGAAGCUGAUGGGCCAGCUGCUG
rnacentral:lncRNA from 1 species